CCUGAGAAAGCCGAAAGUUCGAAUGAGGAGACUCAGCGUUAGCGGCGGCCGAAGGUCGCGUUGUUCGUGAUGGCAAAGACGGGGUGUCGUUUUUAACGUUCGCUCGGUCGAUGUCACGCGCUCGUUGCGACGCUGCUCGGUCACGUUGACGUGCACUUCUCCUCUAGUAGAACGUCGCGACCCGCUGGGUGUCGAUUUAAGGGACCAUAGGAUUCGACUGUUCCGUCGCUUCGGCGUACGUGGGCAGAAUCUCUUGACUUUUCCCCGAUCGACUGCCCGGCGGUAAGAAAGAUACGGUAUUCAGUCGCACGCCAGUGCGUUCAGACUCGUCGCAAGCCGGACCAUGGUUAUACGCUCGGAUGUUAAGGACUGUGUGCCUUCGCCGGGAGUGGUUGGCUGUUGGCGUACGAUGUUCUCGAACCGGCUGAAAUAAAUGUAUAUGGAAAUACCGGUCGGCGACGCUACUGCUUUGGCUACUUUCAGGACCCGUCUUGAAACACGGACCAAGGAGUCUAACAUGUGCGCGAGUCAUUGGGACGUAGAAACCCAAAGGCGCAUUGAAAGAGAAGAUCGACCUCGCGUCGAUCGAGGGAGGAUGGGCGAUCCACUCGGUCGUCCCGCACUCCCGGGGCGUCUCGCUGUCAUUGCGACUUGAGGCGCACCAAGAGCGUACACGUUGGGACCCGAAAGAUGGUGAACUAUGCCUGGUCAGGACGAAGUCAGGGGAAACCCUGAUGGAGGUCCGUAGCGAUUCUGACGUGCAAAUCGAUCGUCGGAACUGGGUAUAG
rnacentral:rRNA from 2 species